rnacentral:rRNA from 1 species
CCUACGGGGGGCAGCAGUAGGGAAUCUUCCGCAAUGGACGAAAGUCUGUCGGAGCAACGCCGCGUGAGCGAAGAAGGUCUUCGGAUCGUAAAGCUCUGUUGUUAGGGAAGAACAAGUACGGGAGGAAAUGACCGUACCUUGACGGUACCUAACGAGGAAGCCACGGCUAACUACGUGCCAGCAGCCGCGGUAAUACGUAGGUGGCAAGCGUUGUCCGGAAUGAUUGGUCGUAAAGCGGGCGCAGGCUGUCUUUUAAGUCUGAUGUGAAAUCUUGCGGCGUAACCGCAAGCGGUCAGUGGAAACUGGGAGAGUUGAGUGCAGAAGAGGAAAGCGGAAUUCCACGUGUGGCGGUGAAAUUCGUAGAGAUGUGGAGGAACACCAGUGGCGAAGGCGGCUUUCUGGUCUGUAACUGACGCUGAGGCGCGAAAGCGUGGGGAGCAAACAGGAUUAGAUGCCCGUGUAGUC